rnacentral:rRNA from 1 species
AGCGGCGGAUGGGUGAGUAACACGUGGGGAACCUGCCCCUAAGUCUGAGAUACCAUUUGGAAACAGGUGCUAAUACCGGAUAAUAAAGCAGAUCGCAUGAUCAGCUUUUGAAAGGCGGCGUAAGCUGUCACUAAGGGACGGCCCCGCGGUGCAUUAGCUAGUUGGUAAGGUAACGGCUUACCAAGGCGACGAUGCAUAGCCGAGUUGAGAGACUGAUCGGCCACAUUGGGACUGAGACACGGCCCAAACUCCUACGGGAGGCAGCAGUAGGGAAUCUUCCACAAUGGACGCAAGUCUGAUGGAGCAACGCCGCGUGAGUGAAGAAGGUUUUCGGAUCGUAAAGCUCUGUUGUUGGUGAAGAAGGAUAGAGGUAGUAACUGGCCUUUAUUUGACGGUAAUCAACCAGAAAGUCACGGCUAACUACGUGCCAGCAGCCGCGGUAAUACGUAGGUGGCAAGCGUUGUCCGGAUUUAUUGGGCGUAAAGCGAGCGCAGGCGGAAAAAUAAGUCUAAUGUGAAAGCCCUCGGCUUAACCGAGGAACUGCAUCGGAAACUGUUUUUCUUGAGUGCAGGAGAGGAGAGUGGAACUCCAUGUGUAGCGGUGGAAUGCGUAGAUAUAUGGAAGAACACCAGUGGCGAAGGCGGCUCUCUGGUCUGCAACUGACGCUGAGGCUCGAAAGCAUGGGUAGCGAACAGGAUUAGAUACCCUGGUAGUCCAUGCCGUAAACGAUGAGUGCUAAGUGU